rnacentral:rRNA from 1 species
GGAUAACCUACCCUUAGGACCGGGAUAACCCUGGGAAACUGGGGAUAAUACUGGAUAGGCAAGCUUUCCUGGAAUGGUUUUUUGUUUAAAUGUUUUUUCGCCUAAGGAUGGGUCUGCGGCCGAUUAGGUAGUUGGUUAGGUAACGGCUUACCAAGCCGUCGAUCGGUACGGGUUGUGAGAGCAAGAGCCCGGAGAUGGAACCUGAGACAAGGUUCCAGGCCCUACGGGGUGCAGCAGGCGCGAAACCUCCGCAAUGUGAGAAAUCGCGACGGGGGGAUCCCAAGUGCCAUUCUUAACGGGAUGGCUUUUCAUUAGUGUAAAGAGCUUUUGGAAUAAGGGCUGGGCAAGACCGGUGCCAGCCGCCGCGGUAACACCGGCAGCUCUAGUGGUAGCAGUUUUUAUUGGGCCUAAAGCGUCCGUAGCCGGUUUAAUAAGUCUCUGGUGAAAUCCUGUAGCUUAACUGUGGGAAUUGCUGGAGAUACUAUUAGACUUGAGACCGGGAGAGGUUAGAGGUACUCCCAGGGUAGAGGUGAAAUUCUGUAAUCCUGGGAGGACCGCCUGUUGCGAAGGCGUCUAACUGGAACGGUUCUGACGGUGAGGGACGAAAGUUAGGGGCGCGAACCGGAUUAGAUACCCGGGUAGUCCUAACUGUAAACGAUGCGGACUUGGUGUUGGGGUGGCUUUGAGCUGCU